GUGAUAAUGUGAUUAGACUAUGUGCUGACUGUAAUAGACAGUACUAUGUGUUAUGAUAUAUUGUUCUAAUCGAACGAAUGAUCUGAUUAUUGAUAGGUUGUGAUAAAGAGAUAAAACCUAAGUUGAGAUUUGUAAUCAGCGAAUCAGGCAAGUAUCCUACCUUUGCAUUUCCUUUAUGCAAUGGACAUGAGUAAGAAGUUUCAAAAUUCUUUUCUAUUCCUGUACAGAUUAUGUACGCUUUGAUUAUCAACAUGUUA
rnacentral:lncRNA from 1 species